UACGGGGGGGGCAAGCGUUGUUCGGAAUUACUGGGCGUAAAGGGCUCGUAGGCGGCUAACUAAGUCAGACGUGAAAUCCCUAGGCUCAACCUAGGAACUGCGUCUGAUACUGGAUGGCUUGAAUCCGGGAGAGGGAUGCAGAAUUCCUGGUGUAGCGGUGAAAUGCGCAGAUAUCAGGAGGAACACCGAUGGCGAAGGCAGGUCUCUGGGCCACUACUGACGCUGAGAAGCGAAAGCAUGGGGAGCGAACAGG
rnacentral:rRNA from 1 species